CGUAGGGUGCGAGCGUUAAUCGGAAUUACUGGGCGUAAAGCGUGCGCAGGCGGUUUAGUAAGACAGGCGUGAAAUCCCCGGGCUCAACCUGGGAACUGCGCUUGUGACUGCUAAGCUAGAGUACGGCAGAGGGGGGUGGAAUUCCAUGUGUAGCAGUGAAAUGCGUAGAGAUGUGGAGGAACACCAAUGGCGAAGGCAGCCCCCUGGGUCGAUACUGACGCUCAUGCACGAAAGCGUGGGUAGCAAACAGGAUUAGAUACCCUGGUAGUCCACGCCCUAAACGAUGUCAACUAGGUGUUGGGAGGGUAAAACCUUUUAGUACCGGAGCUAACGCGUGAAGUUGACCGCCUGGGGAGUACGGCCGCAAGGUUA
rnacentral:rRNA from 1 species